GAGGGUAUAGCUCAAAUGGUAAAGCGCAAGCUUAGCGUGCAUGAGGUCAUAGGUUCAAUCCCCAGUACCUCCU
rnacentral:tRNA from 1 species